AGGAGGAGAGCCUCUAUGCUGCCGUGGGAGACACACAGCCUGAGGAGGGGGUGCAGCUGGAGCAUCGGGCCGCUGCAUCUGACGUCCCAGAGGAUGUGACCUACGCCCAGCUGAACCGCUUGACCCUCAGACGGGAGACAAGUGCAUCCCCUCCCUCCCAAUCAGGGGAGCCCCCAGCAGAGCCCAGCGUGUAUGCUGCUCUGGCCAUCCACUAGCCCAGGAAGGACAAAGACCCCACACUCCAGGGAGGGGGACCGCAGGGACCCUGGAGGGCACAGGAGCUGCCCACAGCGUGUGCCACCUAAUGACCCCAGCCAGCCUGGACUCCUCACACGGACCAGUAGGAGCCCCCGGGACCCUUUGGGGGUCGCCAGAUCCUGCCGUCGAAGAGAGUAAUAUCCCUACACCGUGGGAAUCAAAGAACGGACUACUCAACAAUCCAUGAAUGAAAUGAGAAAACCAAAAUGAAAAUGAGAGAACGUUUACACUGAAGGACAAUGGAAAUGUUACACAUCAAACCUAUGAAAUGGGAAAAUUAAGAACCAAGUCAAUGAUCCAAGCUAUCCAAGAAUUUAGAAAAAGAUAGCAAAUUAUUCCAAAUGAACAUAGAAGGAGGGAAAUUACAGUGUAAGAGAAGGUACUAAUGAGGACAAACAAAAAAUAGGAAAGAAUCAAUAAAGCCCAAAAUGUUCAUUUUUGUAAAUAUUCAUUACAUGUAGAAAUCCUAGCCACAAUGUCAAGGAACAGAGAGAGAGAGCGAGAGAAGGCACAGAUCACAUCACCAUUAUCAGGACGGCAUCACAUCCUACAGACUUUAAAUCAAUAACAGAGUUUAUUAUGUUCACUUUUAUUAGUUAUUAUAAUAUUAUGAACAAUUUUAUGCCAAAAUAUUAGAAAAUGUAUAUGAAACAGACAAAAUCCUUAAAAAUACGGGUUACCAAAAUGAUGGACACAGGGAUAAAUAGAAAAUCUGAAUUGCUGUAUGUGUGAAACAUGGUGAAUAUGUAAUUAAAGUUUUUCCCGCAGUGUGAA